UAUGACUAUAUCACGUUGGAACACCGGUUCCCAUACGAAGUUAAGCAACGUCGAGCCUGGUCAGUACCCAGAUGGGUGACCGCUUCGGAAUACUGGCUGAUGUA